CCUGGUGAUACUUGCGGUGGGGAAACACCUCUUCCCAUUCCGAACAGAGAAGUUAAGCCCACCAGCGCCGAAGAUACUAUUUAAUUGGGAAAAUAGGUCGUCGCCAGGA
rnacentral:rRNA from 1 species